UACGGGGGGGCAAGGCGUUGUUCGGAAUUACUGGGCGUAAAGGGCUCGUAGGCGGCCAACUAAGUCGGACGUGAAAUCCCUCAGCUUAACUGGGGAACUGCGUCUGAUACUGGAUGGCUUGGAUUCGGGAGAGGGAUGCGGAAUUCCAGGUGUAGCGGUGAAAUGCGUAGAUAUCUGGAGGAACACCGGUGGCGAAGGCGGCAUCCUGGACCGAUAUUGACGCUGAGGAGCGAAAGCCAGGGGAGCAAACGGGG
rnacentral:rRNA from 1 species